rnacentral:rRNA from 1 species
GGGAAACGAUGUGGGAAGGCCCAGACAGCCAGGAUGUUGGCUUAGAAGCAGCCAUCAUUUAAAGAAAGCGUAAUAGCUCACUGGUCGAGUCGGCCUGCGCGGAAGAUGUAACGGGGCUAAACCAUGCACCGAAGCUGCGGCAGCGACACUCAGGUGUUGUUGGGUAGGGGAGCGUUCUGUAAGCCUGUGAAGGUGGCCUGUGAGGGUUGCUGGAGGUAUCAGAAGUGCGAAUGCUGACAUAAGUAACGAUAAAGCGGGUGAAAAGCCCGCUCGCCGGAAGACCAAGGGUUCCUGUCCAACGUUAAUCGGGGCAGGGUGAGUCGACCCCUAAGGCGAGGCCGAAAGGCGUAGUCGAUGGGAAACGGGUUAAUAUUCCCGUACUUGGUGUUACUGCGAAGGGGGGACGGAGAAGGCUAUGUUGGCCGGGCGACGGUUGUCCCGGUUUAAGCGUGUAGGUGUGUGUUCCAGGUAAAUCCGGUUCACUUUAACACUGAGGCGUGAUGACGAGGCACUACGGUGCUGAAGCAACAAAUGCCCUGCUUCCAGGAAAAGCCUCUAAGCAUCAGGUAACAUCAAAUCGUACCCCAAACCGACACAGGUGGUCAGGUAGAGAAUACCAAGGCGCUUGAGAGAACUCGGGUGAAGGAACUAGGCAAAAUGGUGCCGUAACUUCGGGAGAAGGCACGCUGACA